rnacentral:rRNA from 1 species
GACUGAGUGGCGGACGGGUGAGUAACGCGUGGGUAACCUGCCUCACACAGGGGGAUAACAGUUAGAAAUGACUGCUAAUACCGCAUAAGCGCACGGUCUCGCAUGGGACAGUGUGAAAAACUCCGGUGGUGUGAGAUGGACCCGCGUCUGAUUAGCUAGUUGGUGGGGUAACGGCCUACCAAGGCGACGAUCAGUAGCCGACCUGAGAGGGUGACCGGCCACAUUGGGACUGAGACACGGCCCAAACUCC